rnacentral:lncRNA from 1 species
ACCUGUUCGUUUUACCUACUCAAGCCAAGCGCCUUGUUUCCCCCGCAGGAAUCCAUCUGGAGGCCAAGAGUGUCCCUGGUGGGAUUUCUCACCCUCCCAGGAAGGACUCAACUGCCCCAUCCCACACCAAGCGCCUGUCCUGCUGUCCCCCGGGUCCUGCAGAGCUGCCCGCUGUCGUCACACCUCGUGGAGAGCGGGGCUGCUGAGCCCUCGGUGUACACGGGACACAAGGGCCGGCUCCAGCUUCCCCAUAAACCAAAUCCCACAUUGCCCUCGAGGGCUCGUAGAAUCUGGGAAGAGACCGAAGAGGAAGAGAACAUUCAUUCUGAGAAAGGCCGUCCAGCUGCGUCAGCAAAACAAGAACUUUGAAAAGCUGAUGGAGAGGCCAGCCCGGUGGUGCGGCGGUUAAUUUUGCAAGUUCUGCUUUGGCGGCCCGGGAUUUGCCCGUGUGGAUCCCAGGUGAGGGCAUGGUACAGCUCAUCAAGCCAUGCUGUGACAGGCGUCCCACAUAUAAAGUAGAGGAGGAUGGGCAUGGGUGUUAACUCAGGGCCAGUCUUCCUCAGCAGAAAAAGGAGGAUUGGCAGCAGAUGUUAGCUCAGGGCUAAUCUUCCUCAAAAAAAAGAGAAGCUAAAGGAGUGGGGAAAGACUCCCAUGGGACAGGGCUUCUGGGAGCACGUUGGAGUGUGAUGUGCUGCUGACCAUGAGCCUUCCGCCUUGCUAAGUGGAGUGCCAAGCUAAGGUAAGAGGUGGAUAUAACUGAAUCACAGGGCAAAUCUUGAGAAAUGGUUUCUGCGAAGACGACGAGGAGAGAGAGCUUGCUAACAUGUGAGAGGACUUCUUUACUGAGAAACCGAAGUAUUCAACAACUCUCUGUGUGAAGUUUUGUUAUUGCCGUGUGGUAACUGUUUGCCUGGCUUUCCCAAAAUCUGCAGUGGGAAUCCGCAGCCCCUCGUUCCGAGGUUGCAGGGGGAAGGCAGCCCGUCAGAGGUCAUUGUCAGGCAUCGAGACCCCUCGCGUGCACAGAGCCA